GACUCUUUGACGUCACGCGUUACCUAGUACCACAAAAAAGACAGGCUAUUCAUGGAGAAACCGGUCUCAGAUGAAGAAAUUUUGACAUUGGCGAGUGCUACGACUUAACGUGGAGUUCAGAGGCGGGUUUGCACAACCAACAGAUGUUCUGUGAUGUCAGCUGCAGUGAGGGGGAGGCGAAAAAAUGGGAACGCUAAAAAGAAGUAGGAGGAAGGUGUCAGAACUCUAAUCACCAUGCAGCACUCAGAGAGAAAUCUAUUGUAUCUCUUAGCACAAACACUGGCUUUGAGUCACAGUUACAACGCCAGCUCACUGAUCCAGAGAAGAUAAAUUACACAUGCUGUCAUCCAGACCAACGUACAGCUCCAUUCGGGUGCUCAAUAAAUUAUGCAAAAGAGCCUAACAGCAAGAAAAUGACCGUGCUAUUUGCUGUCACUUCAGACGAUUUGUAUUAUGACAUUUCACGAACGCUUGGCCAAUUGCACUAGAUCUAUUGCACAAACUAAAUAAUAGUUUCUCUAGUUUCUCCACUCCAGCUAUGGGAUUUAGUUAUUCAUUAAACCACCCACAUAACAAGUGCAAAACACAGCUCAGGACAUGAACAGCUCAUUUAGUUUAGUGUGUGUGUGUGUCAGCACUGUGUAGUUUUACACCCGCAUGCCUACAAAACCAGGAGUACUUUCCAAAACAACUAUGUGUACAUAACAUGUCACAAAUUAUUUCCACUGCAGUCAGUCCAGUAGAUGCAAAAAUGCUAUCAUAUUACAACAAAUAUAUCUAUUAUCCAUAUAAUAACUAUAGUACGUUUACAGAUAACAUGUUUAUUUAGUGCAUCUUACAUCUUAAAUACUAUUUUAAAAUGAACCAUUUAGAAUUUGUUUUAAUAUAUUUAAAAUACAUUUCCACAAUUUUAAUUCAGAUAGAAGCGUUAUCGGCCACCUCCACCUAUUGUGGGAUUGAACAAAGGACAUGUCUUUUGAGAUGCUAUUCUAGACCUUUUACAGUACUACUACCGUAGUAUGUACAAUGUAUUAUUAUGCCUUUCAGUUAAGUCUAAGAUCAUAACAUCAUUGGCUUGUUUUGAUAAAAGAUGCACGCUUUGCAAUGUCUCUCUAGUUCAGGAUCGUUUCCACUACUAACGGAUGUCUCAAAAAUGUAGGUUGCAAUCUUGGUUACAGCUUAAUCAGACCUCAAUUCGCUGACUGACAAUUAGUCAGCUUCCCUUGUGUUAGAGGAACUGUCAUAAAGGGCAAUAAAACAAACACACACACUAUCUGACACUGAGGGUGUGACCUGUCAAGACAUGUCAGCAUUACCAGUGUCUAGGCUGAAAUACCAUAUGGUAUCUUAACAAUAAGAAAGAGGAAUCAGUAACUAAAUAGUUCAACCCGAAAUGAAAAAUCUUGACUUAAAGAAAUGACUUUCUUCUGUGAAACACAAAAUGAAAAGGUUUAUAAUGUUUGCGCUGCUGCUUUCUGAUCAAUUCAAGUUAAAGUUGACACACACUGAAUGACUUCAGUUUCACUGUGUUCAUCUUUACAAUACUUCUAUAAUGCUUUUCCAUCCUUUUUGAACAUUUACUGCUUGUGGUCACUUUUAUUUAUUCACUGCAUUCAUCUUUUUGUGUUCCAUGGAGGAAAAAGGUCAAAUGGGACAUAGAAUUUGGACAUAUUUCUUUCGUAAUCAGGAACAUAGACACAGUCCUUCUGAAACUUAAUGAGUUUAUACUGAUUUACAGAACAUCUCGGUUCCUGAAGAAGAGGAGAUGCACAUCUAAUAUGACUUCAAUCUGGCAUGUGGCUUUGUCUUGACUGCAGUUGCAGUUGCUCGCCCCGAGGCACUGUCAUUUGAAGAUGAGAAAGAGCUGUAAGAUGUGGAAAUGGCCUCUGAAGAUCAAACAACUAUCCCUUUCCCCCCCAUGUCACAAGGAAAGAGGAAGAUAUGACAUGCUGAGACAUCAGUCUAGUCAAAAAAAACUCAAGGUGUCAAGAGAGCAGCUCGGUGUGUGGAUGGAAUUGGAAGUUAGAGUGUGAAGGGGGCAGAGAAGGAAAAAGGGAAGGGUGCGAGGUAAAAGAAAGAGACUGUUGACUCAAAUCAGACAGCAGCGGAGGCCAAGCCCAGUCAUAUGGCUCGAGGAUUUCUGGACCUGCUGUGCUUGGAGAGGAAAGCACAUCAUCAUCUGCUGCAUUCCAUCCACACACAUGUCUCGAAUCAGCACUGGACACCAGCUCAGAGUUUAAGCCAGUUAAUAGGUUUGCCAGUUUUGUGCUUUCUGAAGUUAGGAGGAGAAGGUAAACUGGGGGAGGAAAAUAAAUCACUGUGUAAAAAGACAAUCUUAUACCCCAAAUCCUUAUUGUCCAAUCUGGCCACGUUACAUGCAUUUUCUACCAAAAAGAAGGGUGUUUUGGCCUUUAAAAAAUUGUCUUAAUUAAAGUCAAUCCCUGAAGCA